AUCAAAUGUUUACCUUAAACCAGAGGUAGUGACACUAAUGGAAGAACGUUUGCGGUUUAGCAGCCCAAUAGUGUAGUGCCUCUUUAAGAGGAGUGUGCUGUGAGUACAGGUGACCGGUGAGUACUACGUGAAAAGGAAGCACGAGAUUCAUUCAGUUGGUGAUGACUGUCAACCCGGUGUGCAGCCACUUGGUUUAUUACCUGGUUUCCCUUUGUGAACAAAAAGAAAUAAACAAACAAAUGUGGAAUACCGAGUAAUAUCCUUUGUACACUGGGUUGCCCUUUCCGUGGGGAGAACACGGAACAGU